rnacentral:lncRNA from 1 species
AUGUGCUUAUCUUCUAAGGUUUCUCUUGGACCCACUGAAUGGGGAAGAACGGUGCUCAUUAGAAAUUUUGUCCCCACUCUUCUGGCUUCCUGUGUUCGUCUGUUGACCUCGAUAGAAGACUAUAGCUCCGGAACAAGGAAAGGAGGUUCAGACAGAGUCCAAUCUACUGUGAGGCUGGAAUAAAUCAAGACAGCAGAAUUACUUCAUCAGACCUCUUCUACCCCCUGGCCUGUCUAAGAUUCUUUCUCCUGGAGGCCUCACUAUUUCAUCUGGCCCAGUGAGGUAAGGUGCUUUGCCGGGACACCCCCUCAUCCUGCUCGCCUCCCCUCAUCCUCGGAACCACACACACCUGUUCACUCUUCUAAAUCCCGCCCCUCCUCCCAACCCCUCAAUACCAUGGAGGAUUUUAAACAAAGUAGGUCUUUUAAUUGUUUGUUUACCAGAUGGAUGAGGAAGAUAGAAGAUAGAAGAAACAAGAUUUGAUAAUACGAUGUGCAUCUUAUGCUUGUGAAUUGUCUGCAUAAUGCUGAUGGAAUUUGCCUUGAGAAAAUUUCAUACUUCAUUGAACUGUAACAUUUGUAAUGUUAACCUAAAAAAAAAAUUUUUGUUUUUCCUCUAUAAAAUAAAGCUACCCAAUGUUGCUGAAUUUGUCAAAAGUCACUGGUAUUGUGCCUGCAUGCAAUACACUACAAAUUCCAAGCCGUAACCAAGGGUUUAAUUUUAUCACUGAAAUAAAGAACAGGUUAAAUACCUUUUGAGCAUUUAAUUCCCAACAUAAAGGAACUCCAGUUUUUCCGGCCAGUGAAUUAUAUCAACAACCACCACUAGGGGGUGCUUCGCCUCUUCUUAUUUGCAGUAAACACAAUACUAAAUUGAAAUCUCACACACUCCCUUUGUAUGUCCA